rnacentral:lncRNA from 1 species
UGUGUUUCAUUUGACUUGGUUUGCAUUUGCUUCAUUUUGUGGCCAAGGAUCUUGCUGAUGUUAUGAUGUGAGUUUGUUCCCACAUGAUUUCUAUUGGACUCAAGCUCCAUCUAGUAACAGUUCCAGGUUUGAAUGAUCAAGACUGCGACGUUGUAUAUAUUGAAUUAAUCAGUGUUUUAAAAUUUCAGAUGUUUUCUUAGGCAGACCAGACGUUUUCUUAGGAGGUCUCAUUUUUUUUUUUAUUAUAGUAGAUGUAAUUUUUAAAAAUUUUACCUGAAAAAUUACUCAAUUUUUUUAAGGCUUAAAAAAUUAAUUUUAAGUAUUGUAAAAUUUCAAAGUAGAGGUUUGAUUUUUACAAGACGAGAGUUUAGGAGUCCAGCCUCUAGGACCAUCUAAUGCCUAGCUGGGG